CCUACGGGAGGCAGCAGUAGGGAAUAUUGGGCAAUGGUUGCAAAUCUGACCCAACCAUGCCGCGUGCAGGAUGAAGGCCUUGUGGGUUGUAAACUGCUUUUAUCAUGGAAGAAAAAACUCUUGCGAGAGGACGUGACGGUACCAGGUGAAUAAGCACCGGCUAACUCCGUGCCAGCAGCCGCGGUAAUACGGAGGGUGCAAGCGUUGUCCGGAUUUAUUGGGUUUAAAGGGUGGGUAGGCGUCCAAUUAAGUCCGUGGUGAAAGCCAACAGCUCAACUGUUGCACUGCCAUGGAUACUGAUAGGCUUGAGGACGGGCGAGGUGGACGGAAUGGAUAGUGGAGCGAUGAAAUGCAUAGAUGGAAUCCAGAACGCCGAUUGCGUAGUCAGCUUGCUAGACUGUAACUGUCGCUGAGGCAAGAAAGGGUGGGGAGCGAACUGGAUUAGAUCCCCAGGUAGUCCACUCAGUGAUCGAUGAUUGGUGGAUGUUGGAUCGACCCGGUCAGUGUCGUAGCUAACGCGUUAAGUAUCCGCCUGGCAGACGCAGCUGGGCA
rnacentral:rRNA from 1 species